ensembl:lncRNA
GCUGAGUGGGUGGAUAUGGGCUGAGUGGGUGUAUAUGGGCUGACUGGGUGUAUAUGGGUUGACUGGGUGUAUAUGGGCUGACUGGGUGUAUAUGGGUUGACUGGGUGUAUAUGGGCUGACUGGGUGUAUAUGGGCUGACUGGGUGUUUUUAUAUGGGUUGACUGGGUGUAUAUGGGCUGACUGGGUGUAUAUGGGCUGACUGGGUGUAUAUGGGCUGACUGGGUGUUUUUAUAUGGGCUAACUGGGUGUAUUUAUAUGGGCUGACUGGGUGUUUUUAUAUGGGUUGACUGGGUGUAUAUGGGCUGACUUGGUGUUUUUAUAUGGGUUGACUGGGUGUAUAUGGGUUGACUGGGUGUAUAUGGGCUGACUGGGUGUUUUUAUAUGGGUUGACUGGGUGUAUAUGGGCUGACUGGGUGUAUAUGGGCUGACUGGGUGUAUAUGGGCUGACUGGGUGUAUAUGGGCUGACUGGGUGUAUAUGGGCUGACUGGGUGUUUUUAUAUGGGUUGACUGGGUGUAUAUGGGUUGACUGGGUGUAUAUGGGCUGACUGGGUGUUUUUAUAUGGGUUGACUGGGUGUAUAUGGGCUGAGUGGGUGUAUAUGGGCUGACUGGGUGUUUUUAUAUGGGCUGACUGGGUGUAUAUAUAGGCUGACUGGGUGUAUAUGGGCUGAGUGGGUGGAUAUGGGCUGACUGGGUGUUUUAUAUGGGUUGACUGGGUGUAUAUGGGCUGACUGGGUGUUUUUAUAUGGGUUGACUGGGUGUAUAUGGGGGUGAGUUAGAUUACUGUUUUGGGGUCCAGAGAAUUGGGAUGAAAUAAGUAUUUUGUCAGUGAUCUUGGUAUUUCACAGGUUUGUUCAUUGAUAUUUUAUCAUUCAACCCCCAUUCAAGGCUUAUAGCCAGGAAAGAGAUAAAGAGAUAAUUGAGAUAAAGAGAUAAUUGCUGUUCUGUUAAUAUUUAUAAAAGUGGAACAUAGGCCCGAAUCCUAUUUGAUAACUCUUAGUGAGGGGAAAUAUUAGCCACAAGGUGUUUGUGUUAAUUUUAGAAGGAACGCUCAGGGCAGAGUUCCUGUCUGUUUUUAGAAUUUGUUUUUAGCACUCUGAAUUUCUCAUCAUGAGGUCACUGCAGAGGAUUGGAAAGUGUUGACUGCCAACAUUAAGAGGGAACGUGGAGGUUGGUAACAGGAGGGGUUUAGCUGACAUCUGACCUGGCUGCACCCCAACCCCGUAAGCAGAAGGGACCCAAAGUUUACUUCUUAGACCACUGAAAUAUGAUAUGUCCAAGGGCUCUCUCUACAUUGUCCUCUGGCUGCUAGCUGACCAUCCGUAAGUGUUGCAACACGUUCACCAAUACCAAUACUUCUGUUUCACUUAGUUCUGCUGAUCCAUCUUCAAGAUAAAUAGAAUAUUUAAGCAAAAUGGUAAGAGUGAGAUGUUCUUUGGCUGAGACGGUGAAAGGGGUAAAGAGAGAGAGGAUGGUGGGAGAUAGGGACCAUGUGGAAGGCAGUAUAUGAGUUCAGUCCAUAACGUGACACAGCUUAUUCACAAGAGAGGGAGAAGAUAGAACGAGUGAGAAGUGAUGACAAGUUGAACAUGCAUGGCAAGUUUACCCCCUGGGGUUGCGGCCCGUCUUUGUGUUGUUGGUGUGAAUGUCAGCCUUCAGGGUGCUUCUGAGAGCACAAUAGCACAACGAGCACUGGGACAGCUACGCACGUGGGGCUCUCCUCUCUAGAGUUGCUGUCUACACUGUCCCUCUGAUGAAUUACUACAGCAUCAGAGUGGAGGGCGAGAGCAUGGACAUGAGGGAGGGAGGGAGGAUGUAAUUGUUCCACUUGAAAUGCAAAGCCUCACUGCUCAGAUCUCAAAAUGCAAACUGAGUGAGGUCUAUGGAGAUGAAAACGGCAGUUUGAGAUGUGUGAACCCUGUGGUUGCGUAUGCCAUGGCUGUGCGGUUCAUCAACGCUUACACAGUAACCCUAUGAUGGAGCAGCACAACAUUUCUCUGUAUUAUGUAUGCAACAACAUCCUGAUCGAAUUGAACAGCCAUAUUGCACAGCCAUAUUGCACAGGCAUAUUGCACAGCCAUAUUGCACAGCCAUAUUGCACAGCCAUAUUGAACAGCCAUAUUGCACAGGCCACAUUGAAAUGAAACAGAAUGGAAAACUGCCACUGUGCUUUUUCUGUCCGCUCUAUUUCUAUGACCUCUGACAUCACCUUGGUUCUGUUUUACCUCUGUGCAGCUCCAGUCUGUUCUAGUUGGCCCAGUUCUGUUAAAGUUAGUUUCUGCACUAUUGGAGAUAUUCAUGGACCUUUCAGGUUUUUGUCUAUUCAAACCACUUAAAUGGUUGAAAGCUUAGCAGCCCUCUAAUGGUAAUACCGUAUAAAUGCCGUAUAAAGUAGCUUAGCGAGCUGAGAGGGCUUAUCGAUAGCCGAGAACUGAGAGAAGUUGAUGUGACUGUCCAGUUAUUCUAGGCCCACUCAUUAGAGUGUAUUAUACGCC